CACGUAGGGCGCAAGCGUUGUCCGGAAUUAUUGGGCGUAAAGAGCUCGUAGGCGGACUGUCACGUCUGCUGUGAAAAGCUGGGGCUUAACCCUGGCCUUGCAGUGGAUACGGGCAGACUAGAGGUAGGUAGGGGAGACUGGAAUUCCUGGUGUAGCGGUGAAAUGCGCAGAUAUCAGGAGGAACACCGGUGGCGAAGGCGGGUCUCUGGGCCGAUACUGACGCUGAGGAGCGAAAGCGUGGGGAGCGAACAGG
rnacentral:rRNA from 1 species